ACCUACGGGGGGCAGCAGUGAGGAAUAUUGGUCGAUGGUCGGGAGACUGAACCAGCCAAGCCGCGUGAGGGAUGAAGGUACAGAGUAUCGUAAACCUCUUUUGUCAGGGAACAAAGGCGGGGACGUGUCCCCGGAUGAGUGUACCUGAAGAAAAAGCAUCGGCUAACUCCGUGCCAGCAGCCGCGGUAAUACGGAGGAUGCGAGCGUUAUCCGGAUUUAUUGGGUUUAAAGGGUGCGCAGGCGGUCUGUUAAGUCAGCGGUCAAAGCCCGGGGCUCAACCCCGGCCCGCCGUUGAAACUGGCAGU
rnacentral:rRNA from 1 species